rnacentral:rRNA from 1 species
AGAGUUUGAUCAUGGCUCAGAUUGAACGCUGGCGGCAGGCCUAACACAUGCAAGUCGAGCGGUAGCACAGAGAGCUUGCUCUCGGGUGACGAGCGGCGGACGGGUGAGUAAUGUCUGGGAAACUGCCUGAUGGAGGGGGAUAACUACUGGAAACGGUAGCUAAUACCGCAUAAUGUCGCAAGACCAAAGUGGGGGACCUUCGGGCCUCAUGCCAUCAGAUGUGCCCAGAUGGGAUUAGCUAGUAGGUGGGGUAACGGCUCACCUAGGCGACGAUCCCUAGCUGGUCUGAGAGGAUGACCAGCCACACUGGAACUGAGACACGGUCCAGACUCCUACGGGAGGCAGCAGUGGGGAAUAUUGCACAAUGGGCGCAAGCCUGAUGCAGCCAUGCCGCGUGUGUGAAGAAGGCCUUCGGGUUGUAAAGCACUUUCAGCGGGGAGGAAGGCGGUGAGGUUAAUAACCUCAUCGAUUGACGUUACCCGCAGAAGAAGCACCGGCUAACUCCGUGCCAGCAGCCGCGGUAAUACGGAGGGUGCAAGCGUUAAUCGGAAUUACUGGGCGUAAAGCGCACGCAGGCGGUCUGUCAAGUCGGAUGUGAAAUCCCCGGGCUCAACCUGGGAACUGCAUUCGAAACUGGCAGGCUAGAGUCUUGUAGAGGGGGGUAGAAUUCCAGGUGUAGCGGUGAAAUGCGUAGAGAUCUGGAGGAAUACCGGUGGCGAAGGCGGCCCCCUGGACAAAGACUGACGCUCAGGUGCGAAAGCGUGGGGAGCAAACAGGAUUAGAUACCCUGGUAGUCCACGCCGUAAACGAUGUCGAUUUGGAGGUUGUGCCCUUGAGGCGUGGCUUCCGGAGCUAACGCGUUAAAUCGACCGCCUGGGGAGUACGGCCGCAAGGUUAAAACUCAAAUGAAUUGACGGGGGCCCGCACAAGCGGUGGAGCAUGUGGUUUAAUUCGAUGCAACGCGAAGAACCUUACCUGGUCUUGACAUCCACAGAACUUAGCAGAGAUGCUUUGGUGCCUUCGGGAACUGUGAGACAGGUGCUGCAUGGCUGUCGUCAGCUCGUGUUGUGAAAUGUUGGGUUAAGUCCCGCAACGAGCGCAACCCUUAUCCUUUGUUGCCAGCGGUCCGGCCGGGAACUCAAAGGAGACUGCCAGUGAUAAACUGGAGGAAGGUGGGGAUGACGUCAAGUC